AAGAUGCCCCUGUUGUAUGUAUCAGGUUGGGGAUUUGUUUUGUGGUGAUCACCCUUUCUGAUUUGAAGAUUGCAUGACAAGGAACUAUUAAAGUAAAGGGCAAAGAAUUCAAUUCCUUGAUGUCGCUUUUCUUGGACAGGCUUUAAAAAUAGGUCACUUAAUGUUAUCUGGAUUUGUGUAUUACACUAGCACCUGCUAACACUGCUAUACUUAAGGGUCUACCGGUGUAUUCAAUUUCAGGGUUUCUAGACUGGAUUCUGAUUCUCUAAAUCUAAAUAGGCUUCCAUUCAAAUGGUAGUGAGCAAGGUCUGUGGGAGGCUAUAUAUUUUUUGUACUAUACUGAGUUAAAAAUGAAUGUUUGCUUUAAUAUAUGCUGAGAGGUGAAAAAUGAAAAUGUGGGAUUAACAAAAUUAUCCUAACGUUGAAUAACUCACCAUUUGCAUUUUUUAAAAAAGUCUAUGAAUUGUGCAAUUAGAUAUCUACUUAAAGAUCCAUUAAAAUGGUAAUUACAAGUUUCUGUUAUAUUUUAAUCAUGAACAUAUUAAUGUGCUACCUUUUAGCUAUUGUUAAAUUUCACCUUUUAAAUGUGUUUAGAAUGGGCAAUUAUGCUUUAUUAUCAUGUACUAUUCUACUAAUAUAAAGAUAAUGUCACUAAUAUUGCAUAUAUAUGUACAUAUACACAUGUAGACACAGAUUUUAUAUACUAUCACUUCAUUCAAGAAAUAUAUUUUCUGACAUGUGUGUAAGUAAGUUUCUAAGUGAUAUGUAAUAAAAAUAGUAAUGAUUCUUUUCUCCAUAAAUAUUGAAAUUGAAUCGUCUUUAUUACUUAGUACUUACUAUCCCUGUCCUUCUUAAAGCUCUAUUUCAACAUAGUCCCAUUGCAGCUGUUUAUGCCAGUUCAGAAAUAUAUUUGAUAAAUGUUUUUAUUUUGUGGAUUUAUGACUAUUUAAAAAAAUCCAAAAGCUAACUAUAAAAGGUGACCAUUCUGUAUCAUAGAGCAAAAAUGCUGUACUGCCACUAGAAUCUUAUUAAAUACAAUAAAAACUGUCUUCUUGUUUGUCUGUUAGUAUUGUGUCAUAUAAAUUAGAAAGUAAGUAGUUACAUUGCCCUUUAGUAAUACACUGAUUUUUAGUGGUAAUUCUUAGAUUUCUACAAAGAUGUAGGCUAUCUAUUUAGAAACUGAAGUAUUAAACUGAGAGUAGUAACUAUUUAUUAUUUUGGUGACAUUAAACCUAUCUUUGAAUAAAUAUGGACAACUAAUGCUAUUUUACUAACCACUCCUAAUUUAAUAAUAUACUGUGUCAAUGCAUUAAGAGACUCUGUCCUUGAUGAAAUGAAUUUAUCAGAUAUGAUAACUAGGAUUCUUAUAAUAUCCAGGCUCAUCAGGGUUAGAAAAAAAAUUAUUUUGAAAGAAGUAUCAACGAUAGUUUUCCUAACACCACUGUUCCUGAGUUUCUUUUUAAGGACUUUGAUAUUGAGAUCACAUGCUGCAAUAUUUAAGCUUGAUGGGAUGAGUUAAGGAUAGGGGCUUAAGAUGGCUUAACUGGCAUUUCUGCUUACAUUUGAAAGACUUGGAUCAGUGUCAUCUGAGGCAUCCUUGUGGUCUAUCCUGACACACGUGAAAAUAUUAGCUAUGCCGAAGGAACUUUGGGAUAAGGUCUAUGCUUUGCAUGUUAGUUUAAUUUAUAUUUUGACUAAGACGCUUGUUUCAUACAAAGGUUUCUAUGGGCAUUGAUUUUUUUUCCCUGUUGACAUUAAAUGAGAAAGCACUUUUUUUUUUCCUGAAAACCAACAGUUUUCUACGCAAAUGGGUUCAGACUUAAUUUUAAUGGAAGUGAAACAUAGUCAAUAGAGGCAAAUUAAAACCAUAUAAUUUUGUAAUCUUAGUUUAGCUAUAAUUGCAGCAAUAAAACAGUGGAAAGAAUAAUUGUGGAACAUAUGUUUGUGAGUGACAUUAUCUAGGUGACUUCCCCUUUACGGCAGUGUGCUGUCCUAUUUGUUUCCCCCUCCCUAUGUAUUGGAAUGACAAACCUGCAAGCCUGGAGUUAAUGCUGAUUGCAGCAGCUGCUUACACAUGGAGUCUCCAUAGCAACUGUGAAGGUUGCCAUGCAACCAUAUUCUUUUAGGGACAGUGAAAAUGCCCAAAGGCUUACUAAAAAUACAUGGGGAAAAAAAUCUGAAAUUUUCUUACUACUUUUAGUGGUUAUAAAGAACUAUGAUACAAGUUGAAAGCACAGGUCAAGCAAAUAAAAACCCAGCCCUGACCUUUCAAAAAUUGCUUGCUGUUGCCUGAAAUCUCAAGCUUUAUUCACAGAGAUGACUUUUGAUCGAUUCUAAAAUUGGUAGCUUAUGCUAGGCAGCCCUUGAAGACGGGAAGAUUCAGUAUGGUGCUAUUGGUAUUCCUCAUGGGGUUAAAGGUCAGCAGAAAGUCAUCAAUGCAAUAUUGAUUGGUGGGGCUGAAAAAUGCCCAUGUUUACACCUUCUCGCUGCUUAGGGUUGCGUACCAAACCUUAAGUAGACUCAUGCAGCCUCUGAGCGCGCUCUGGGACAAACCAUUCCAUCAGCAAAUGUGACAUCACUUCAGUCAGCUCAGCUGUUUCUGCAGCUUUCUAUAAAUAGCCAGAUAAAAAAUUGAAGACUACUUGCAGAGAAUUUAACCAACGAAUCUGCUUAUCCAAAUCAUUUAAGAUAAGUUGGGAUUCUGAUUUUGAAAUCUUUAGUUUUCCAUGUUUUUUAACAUAGAAUGUUAUUUUAAUAACAGAGUCUUUUUCAGUACACAUGUAAGAUCUGCUUAUGUGUAUCUAAUUUUAUGAUAGCUUGCCUCUUUAAAAGAGUGGCCCUUGUAAGAAACUGAACAGACAUUGGCCAGUCUCUACUGCAGUAGGCUUCGUUCACGUAGUACAGAUUUCUUGAGAUUAUCUAAUGUAUUAUUUUAGGAGCACAAAUUCAGUAAAUAAAUAAUAUGUUAGAUGGCUAUCAUCAAAUUAUAAUAUUGUAAGUUCCUUAAAAUCCAUCAACAAAGAUAUUAACAUUUCAAAAAGAUAAACAAAUAUGCAUUUUCUUUUAAUCAUAUCUCACAUGAAAUCAGUCAUAUUCUAACAUUUUCCUAUGCAAUUUUCUCAAAGAUGGUAGGUACAUUUUUGAAAUAAAUAUUUUUUUAUUUUUCAUUUUUUUACAAAGACUCUGAAAUUGCAAACUAUUCAUAUUAGACUAAUAAAAACAAUUUUUGUUACUAGGACAUUUCUCAAUUUUUCAUAGAUUUUGUACCAGUGGAGAUGAUAGCAAAUUACCUGGAUCAUAAUAACAGAGCAUCUUACUACUUCAAAUAGACAAGACAGACUUUCUUAAAACCUAUUUUAAUAGAUUGUCUACAAAUUAACAAAAUAUGUGGUUAUUUCACUUUGUCAAGUUAGAUGAACAAAUGAAUGCUUUGUUUGCAAGACUUUAAACAUUCAGACUGACCUAAGAUGUGAAUAUAUGUGUAUACCUGGAAAAUAGAAUAAACCUUCAUCAGUUCAGUGUGAAGCAUCCUUAAGAACAAUGAAGAAUACCCAUCUAGAAAGAAAAGCUUCUUCUAGUUACCAGCUAAUUUCUUAUGUCAUUUUGCCCAACCCUGCCCCACUUUGCUGCAAGUAGUUUGUUGUUUUUAAAAUACUUUCAUUCCCUUCUUUGGAAAGAUCAUGAAGGAUAAUAUAAUUUUAUUCAAGUUCAUUAUUUUCUUAAAAUAUUGAGCCAGAUAAAACUAGACUAUUAAUGUGUUUUUUCUGUUCAGUAUUCCUCUUUAUUGACAACUCAUCAAGAUCUGGCAAAUAACACUAAAUUGAAUUAGUGAUUAAAUUGAGAGCUAAAUUUGUUUUUUUAAAUAAAGAUUUACUUUAUUUUUAAGCAGAUAAUACCUAGAACCAGAUACAAAAGUAAUCUAUAAUAGAAUGAUAUAAGUUUUUUGAAAAAUCAUUAUAAGAUUAAAUAUGAAAAAUGUAUUAACCAUUAAUUUGAUACCAAUUUUUCUGGACACAGAAAACACUUUUUAAAAUUUAGAAGUAUUUGAAUGGACAGUCUUUAAACAAAUUAUAAUCAUGUAUACAUAAGCUACACAAUAAGUAGUGCAAACCAUCUAUAGAGCAGGAUUUUUAGGUUUUAUUUCAGAGGGCUGCUAGUUUGUAAAAUGCAUAUCAUAUGAUACAAAUUGAAACAUGAUAUGGCAUGCAAGCUUAAAUAAAUUAAGCUAGCAUUCAUUAUUACAGAAUUAUCUUCCACACUCUAGUACUUAAAAAACAAGAGAGAAAACUUUGCUAGUUUUAUAAUUAUUUGUUUCCUUUUGGUAUGUAUUUGCCAUGUAUUAAAACUACAUAUUUAUAUUUUAUGUUACUCUAGCUUGGUUUUAAUUUGAAUCUUCUUCAGUGAGUAGUUUUGAAUUUGCAUUUUAUAGCUUGUUAACAAAUUUAAGAAUACAAAUAGACUAUUUUCAUUGGAUUUGAUAGAAAGGACUCUUUUUGAGUAUGUGCAAAUCCCCAAAAUAUUCUGGCUUUUUAAGGUGGUGAUAAUUUAAAUUGUUUUUUCGACGACUGAUCCUAAAAUAGUGAGAAAAAUUUUGCACAGAUUUUAUUUAAAAACUGAAUAGAAUAAGAAUGUAUAGCUGUGGUUAUGGCUUUAUUUAAUUGAUCUCAAAAUACCCCUACAUGUUCAUCUAUGCCCAAAUGUAAUACUAGGAAUACAAGGGCUAAAAUUAUACUUAAUUUUUGAGCAUCUGUUUUAUAUACUCUCAAGUUUUUUUUAAAGGUAAGCAUUUAACAGCUUGGAAAGAGAAAUUAUUAAUAAAGUAUAACUGUUAUAUUAAAAUAUAAUAAAAUGUAUCUUAAAAAAAUAAUGUGAUCCCAUUUUAGGUCAGUUUGUCCUAGGGGGCAUUAUCAACACUCUAAAAAAAUUCAAACUUGAAAAAAAAUCUUUUUUUUUUCUUUUUUUUUUUAGGACAGCAAGCCAUUAAAUCUCAUGAGUAAUGUUGAAAAAAGCUGGAUUGUGCAUAGAUUGCUCUUUACCCAGGAUGCACUUCUGUCUGCAAGAUUCUGAAUAGAGACACACCUGCUAGCUAGCUGAUAACACUCUGGGGUCAUUUCAUUGAAGAAACUGUCAGCCAGGAGUUACUUAAAAUAAAGCCACAGACAAAAUCAUGACCUGCACUGUUGAGACUAAAAAGGUGUAAAAGCAGAAAGGAAAUGUAGAUAAAUGCACAUUCCUUUGUACCAUAACAAAACUUUUACAUGUAAAUUCAACUGAAUAGGAAAGAAUGGGGAAGAAUGUUUCCCUCUACAGUAGAAACAAAUUAGAUUGUUCAGCUGCACAUUUGGCUCUCAGCCAAAGGAGUCGUGUGCCAUGCUUGUUUGCCUACCAGUGCUGCUUAGAUUGGCAAAUGCCCAUGCAGUUUGAAGAGGGCAGGCGGAUGACUGGAUGCCUGCCAGGAAGUGUGUGGGACUGAUGCCACUGCUGGACUCCAUAGCCUGGUAGGAAUGAGGAGUACAAAGGCAUUCAAUAAUCUGAAUGUCCCUUUGCUUCAAGAGAGUGGUGCCAGGCAGCAUUUAAUGAGAGAUUGCUUUGUUACAAAGUCCUCAACAUCAAGUGGGCUGGUGAGCUCAUUAACCUGACUGCAGCAAAUAAAAAAGGCACACUCAGAAGACUCCCAUGAUAGCCUACUCAAUGGUGUAAGAGCCCUUUUGCUUCCUUUAUGGUGAUCCAUUAGCAAGCAGCAGUGUAAACACCAUAAAGCAAGCCAGGUUUCUGAUUGUUCAACUAAAGUCUGUUUCCCCUUGGGGAUUAUACCACCAGUUGAUAUAGGAUUUUUCCUCUUAAGGUUUCUAUCUACUAUAUAAUGACCGUCUUUGCAACGAAGGAUUUUGGGGGUUGCUCUUAACAGCACUGCUCCGGUUAAGGAAACAUGAACUGUUCAGGUGUCUGAAAGAAGGUAAUGAUGUAGGACACACAGAAACAAACUACGAAGUGGAGUGAUCCCAAGAGGAAAUCUUGCUGCGCACUUCUGAAGCCCAAAAUGGUGAACGCAUUACGCUACUUUUCUGCGUUCCCUUUAUUUUUAGCUUUCAGAGGGCUUUACAUUCAUAUGGGAGGUAGGCCACCCCUGCAGUUAGGAGACAGUUCACUGAGCAUCUCUCUCUGAGUGCUACUUCAGCUCUCUGGGGAUUCAUUUACUCUGCAAAGGCUCUUCAGCAAGGAUUCCUCUCUCCUCCAUUUGGAACAUAUUUGAUGGUUGGUUGUGCAAAAAUCUGACUUACAGUGUCUAAACAGAAAGCUAUAGAAUAAAAAAAUAAAAAUAAAAAAAACUGAAAGAUAAAGGAAGACCAAAAACAAAACAAAACAAAACAAAACAAAACAAAACAAAAAAAACACAAAAGAUCACAACAUUACAUCUUUUGAAAUCCAAAGGCCAUCUGUUGCUUUGCUAUCAAAUGUGAGGAGGUCAUCGUAUGACUUUAGAGAUUGGUUUGAGAAAUGAGAAAGGAAAAGCCCAUAACUUUCAAGUUACCAAUUUAAAUCUAGAAGCAAUUACAGGUGAGUGACAACCAUUGUUUUCUGAUUGACAUUUGGUGGUUAAAAUGAAAAAAGUUAAUUGUCUUGGUCCGACGUUUAGUUAACAUAUGUCUGUAGUAAUCAAAAUUAUUAUGUAUAAUUGAAAAAAUAAUCUGGAUGUAGAAAUCAUUCAUUUUGUUUCCUCCAUAAUCAUUUUGGAGAAAGGAUCAAGUAUAACUUCAAUGAAAUCCUAUAUGAGAGUGUUUUGGCCCUUUGUUAAUUUUUUUAAAAAUAGAACAUACCAAUUUAACUUUUGCUUAUUUCUGAAUGAAAUAUGAAGUCAUAACUAGAGAAUUAACUGAAACAUGAAGAAUUAACAAAAAUGCCUUAUAUAAUAAUAAUAUUGAUCCCCUUCAUUUGACCAUAUAAAACAAAAGCAGCUGUGGGCAGUGUCUCAUGCCUGUAAUCCCAGUGGUUCAGGAGGCUAAAGCAGAAGGAAUUCAAGUUUGAGGCCAACCUCAGCAAAUUAGCAAGGUCCUAAGCAAUUUAGUGAGAUCCUGACUCAAAAUUUAAAAAAAAUAAAUAAAAUGGUCUGGGGAUAUGGCUCAGUGGUAAAAUGCCUCUGGGUUCAAUCUCUAGUUUAAAAAAAAAGAAAAAAGUAGGUGGUUGGGUACCUAGUUUUUCAAUUCAUAUGAAGAAUGAAUUAUUUUCAAGGAUUAUUAUCUUCAUAUAUGAAUGUUCUGAAAGUUAAUUACUUUGAGCUUGAUAUGUAUCUGUAAGGAGGGCAUAUAGAUAUCUAUAUAUAGAGAGAUACACAUAUAUAUUUAGUAUAUAUUUAUAUGUAAAAUAUGGUUAGAAAGAUCAAGUUGAAAAUAUUGAUGACUUUGAACUGGUAGCUUAAGUUAAAAUGGAAGCAUACAAUAGGAAAAGUAUCCUUUAUUAGUGUAAAGGAAAUAGAUUUUUAAAGAUACAGUUAGACCACCCAGAAUAGCAGAAAGGCUAAUGAAUACUUUAGAGGUCUUUUUCUGGAUGGUGAGCUGUUGGAGGAGAGCCACCAUGAUUUAUUUUUGUCUUGCUUCUUGUUGUUUCCUUGCUGUAUUUCUUCUCCUGUCUUACAAAACUAAUUUUAAAAAUUCCUUUAAUUGGUUUCACAGAGAUGUCUAAGCAGGGUGAUACAAUCACCCUGUUGGAGAAAAAGCACAGGCUUUAAAACAAUGCAACCCUGGGCUAUAAUUCCAUCUUCUUUACUGAUGAGUCGUGUAUCAUUGGACAAAUUCCUUGACUUAUCUAAGCCUCAGUUUCUUUACAAAUAAAAUAGACAGGAACACCUGCCUCAUAGAGGAUUAAAGUGCUCAGCAUCUAAAAGGUCAUAUGCACACUGCUGGCACAUAGCAGUUGGUAUUAUUACUGUUGAAAGUGACUGAAACGAUCAAACUCGAA
rnacentral:lncRNA from 1 species